UAUAAUUAUUAUUACUGAAUUGUCACUUCUCUUCACCUUACCAGUUCCAUUCAGGCACAGAAACAAGCCCUGCUCUGCUCAAGCUCAUCAUGCUGAGAGUGGCCGAAGAGGUGCCAAGAGCACAUGGAGCAGUGAGACUUUAUCAGCCAGCAAAGGCUUAUGAGUGUUUGCCUGGGUUCAGUUUUGGCCUUUCUUUGAAGUAUUGCCAACCGGCCAUUAUGAGAAACAGGUGAGGAGGUUCAUACUUCUUCAGUGCUUUUGGGAACAGAAAUAAGGAGUCCUACAUCCUCUAAAGAAACUCCUAUUAAAGGGCAUGAAAAACUCAGUGACCACAGUGCCAGUGAAAACUCAUCCACAGAGAAAGACUCUGUGAACUGUUUGGGGGAAGGACAGUACAUGGUUGUAUAGCACCUGAUGCAAGGGAGGCAUGACAUAUGACCCUUAUCACAAAUGGAAAAAUAAACAUCAACAAGACAGAUUGAAGAACACAUCAGAAAGAGUAAAAAUGAAGUUAAAAAUAAUCACUGAUAACAUUUAGCCUGGAGUGCUUUUUGCUUUGUUAUUCUAUAUUGACAAUCCCACCUAGAAAUGGGUCUCUAAGACUUUUUGACUUAUAGACAACCCAGUUUGCUCUACAGACCCCAGUAUAUCCAUUGUCACCCAUGGGAGGGCCCCAGGGUCUUUACUGUGCUGCAUCUUUGGGGACGGAUCAAAUGGCUCCUAGACGAGAACAGAACCAGACAUUUUCCAACCAAAUACCUCUCAGGUCACUGAGCAAUGCUCUGGUGGCUCUGCCUCGCCAGCAAAUGCCCAUGUUGAGGCACAUCAAUAAGCAGCUUUGCCUGAGGAACUUUCCUCCUUUGGGGUUUCUGUGCUGAUGGCAGAAGUAGAUGCACGCCCCUGCCUCAGCCAGAACCAUGCAUGGGCUAGCUGAAACCACUGAUGCAUGGUGGGAGCUGAGAUCCCAACCUGUGAACGUGGUCAUUGGCAGAGGCUUUGAUCCACCAGAACCACUGGUGAGGAAGGGAAAGAGGGCAGAGAUGUACCUGGCUGAGGAAGAGCAAACGAGGAAGAGCACAAGCCCCUUGCUAAUUGCCACAGCUCCUCAAUCAUUGCUAAUGAGUGCUACCAGCCACUGCAGAGCAGGAAUGCAAGAGGACUCUUGAGUGAAUUUCAAGCUGGUCU